UGGGGAAUAUUGGACAAUGGGCGCAAGCCUGAUCCAGCCAUGCCGCGUGAGUGACGAAGGCCUUCGGGUUGUAAAGCUCUUUUGUCAGGGAAGAAACGGUAGUAGCGAAUAACUAUUACUAAUGACGGUACCUGAAGAAUAAGCACCGGCUAACUACGUGCCAGCAGCCGCGGUAAUACGUAGGGUGCAAGCGUUAAUCGGAAUUACUGGGCGUAAAGCGUGCGCAGGCGGUUGUGUAAGUCAGAUGUGAAAUCCCCGGGCUCAACCUGGGAAUUGCAUUUGAGACUGCACGGCUAGAGUGUGUCAGAGGGGGGUAGAAUUCCACGUGUAGCAGUGAAAUGCGUAGAUAUGUGGAGGAAUACCGAUGGCGAAGGCAGCCCCCUGGGAUAACACUGACGCUCAUGCACGAAAGCGUGGGGAGCAAACAGGAUUAGAUACCCCCGUAGUCCCUGAGCGGGCUGGCAAGGCGCAU
rnacentral:rRNA from 1 species